CGGGUGCGGGUCCGGGUCCGGUGGGAUUCCUCGUUCUUUCGCCUGCCAGAGGUUCAGCCGGCGCCGCCGCUCUGUCCAUCGCGCCACCUCCCAAGAUGUAGAGGAACACGACGGUGGGCAGCGACUCCUCAGCCGCCUUCCUCACCAUCGCCGUGGAGGAUCUCGGCCUCCCCGUCCCCAUCCCCGAGUCCACGUCUGCGCUGCGGUCGGCGUCCUGGUCGUCCUCGCCAUGGACGUGGCAGACUGCUGCUGCACCAUGUCCUUGACGGACCUGGCGUUGGCGGCGCCCUCCCGCACGGCCUGCGCUGCCCGCUCACCAACCCAUCUGAUGUACUACCUAGCCCCGUCGGCGGCGGCGGCGUUGCCACCCGCGUGGAUCCAAGAGCGCUGGCGUCGUCCUCGUCGCUCGCCAAGGCCAACCCCACCACACGGUUCCGGGAGCGGUGGCGGUGGUGCAGGAGGUGGGGGAGUGUUUAUGAUGAACAAGAGAACCUGCUAGAAGACAAGCUCAUUAAUUCAAUAGAUGCGGCCACGAGAAAGAAAGUUUUGACUAUACACAUAACAUGGAAGAGCUGAUACAAAAGGCAGUGCACUCAAAUGAAGGCUUAGACUUCUUACAUCAAGUGAGUUCAACACUGAGGCGCCUCUUGACUAAAUGGUCCCUGUAGCUACCAAAAACACUGGGAAAAACGAAUAUGAGGCUGUUAUUGGUUGCAAUAUUCCUACAGAAGUUAAUAUACAUCCUCUGACUGAUGUCCGUACUGUGGGGAGAUGCAAAAUAAUAAAGAGAGGCAAGGAGACCAAGGAGGAAAAUCAAAGAAUCAAAGGUAAUGGUCAAACGUUUGUGCAAGACUGCAAGCAGAUAGUAUUUCAUGAUACUUGCAAUUGUCCAAGCAAAACUCUAGUGAGAACGAGGGCGAUUGUACAAAGAUCAGCAACCAAAUGGUGCCUUAUGCUACCAAAUCUGCACAAGUUGAAACCAUGGUUUUAUCCAUGUUAUUCUUUACGGUUGAUGUACUAAAGCCAUGUUGUGGAUGAUGGUUGUGUGUGUCCAAACUGCUUCCAUUUAUUUUGUCUCGUCAAUUUGGCCUUCUAUUAUUUA